GGUUAAGCGACUAAGCGUACACGGUGGAUGCCCUGGCAGUCAGAGGCGAUGAAGGACGUGCUAAUCUGCGAUAAGCGUCGGUAAGGUGAUAUGAACCGUUAUAACCGGCGAUUUCCGAAUGGGGAAACCCAGUGUGAUUCGUCACACUAUCAUUAACUGAAUCCAUAGGUUAAUGAGGCGAACCGGGGGAACUGAAACAUCUAAGUACCCCGAGGAAAAGAAAUCAACCGAGAUUCCCCCAGUAGCGGCGAGCGAACGGGGAGCAGCCCAGAGCCUGAAUCAGUGUGUGUGUUAGUGGAAGCGUCUGGAAAGGCGCGCGAUACAGGGUGACAGCCCCGUACACAAAAAUGCACAUGCUGUGAGCUCGAUGAGUAGGGCGGGACACGUGGUAUCCUGUCUGAAUAUGGGGGGACCAUCCUCCAAGGCUAAAUACUCCUGACUGACCGAUAGUGAACCAGUACCGUGAGGGAAAGGCGAAAAGAACCCCGGCGAGGGGAGUGAAAAAGAACCUGAAACCGUGUACGUACAAGCAGUGGGAGCACGCUUAGGCGUGUGACUGCGUACCUUUUGUAUAAUGGGUCAGCGACUUAUAUUCUGUAGCAAGGUUAACCGAAUAGGGGAGCCGAAGGGAAACCGAGUCUUAACUGGGCGUUAAGUUGCAGGGUAUAGACCCGAAACCCGGUGAUCUAGCCAUGGGCAGGUUGAAGGUUGGGUAACACUAACUGGAGGACCGAACCGACUAAUGUUGAAAAAUUAGCGGAUGACUUGUGGCUGGGGGUGAAAGGCCAAUCAAACCGGGAGAUAGCUGGUUCUCCCCGAAAGCUAUUUAGGUAGCGCCUCGUGAAUUCAUCUCCGGGGGUAGAGCACUGUUUCGGCAAGGGGGUCAUCCCGACUUACCAACCCGAUGCAAACUGCGAAUACCGGAGAAUGUUAUCACGGGAGACACACGGCGGGUGCUAACGUCCGUCGUGAAGAGGGAAACAACCCAGACCGCCAGCUAAGGUCCCAAAGUCAUGGUUAAGUGGGAAACGAUGUGGGAAGGCCCAGACAGCCAGGAUGUUGGCUUAGAAGCAGCCAUCAUUUAAAGAAAGCGUAAUAGCUCACUGGUCGAGUCGGCCUGCGCGGAAGAUGUAACGGGGCUAAACCAUGCACCGAAGCUGCGGCAGCGACGCUUAUGCGUUGUUGGGUAGGGGAGCGUUCUGUAAGCCUGCGAAGGUGUGCUGUGAGGCAUGCUGGAGGUAUCAGAAGUGCGAAUGCUGACAUAAGUAACGAUAAAGCGGGUGAAAAGCCCGCUCGCCGGAAGACCAAGGGUUCCUGUCCAACGUUAAUCGGGGCAGGGUGAGUCGACCCCUAAGGCGAGGCCGAAAGGCGUAGUCGAUGGGAAACAGGUUAAUAUUCCUGUACUUGGUGUUACUGCGAAGGGGGGACGGAGAAGGCUAUGUUGGCCGGGCGACGGUUGUCCCGGUUUAAGCGUGUAGGCUGGUUUUCCAGGCAAAUCCGGAAAAUCAAGGCUGAGGCGUGAUGACGAGGCACUACGGUGCUGAAGCAACAAAUGCCCUGCUUCCAGGAAAAGCCUCUAAGCAUCAGGUAACAUCAAAUCGUACCCCAAACCGACACAGGUGGUCAGGUAGAGAAUACCAAGGCGCUUGAGAGAACUCGGGUGAAGGAACUAGGCAAAAUGGUGCCGUAACUUCGGGAGAAGGCACGCUGAUAUGUAGGUGAAGUCCCUCGCGGAUGGAGCUGAAAUCAGUCGAAGAUACCAGCUGGCUGCAACUGUUUAUUAAAAACACAGCACUGUGCAAACACGAAAGUGGACGUAUACGGUGUGACGCCUGCCCGGUGCCGGAAGGUUAAUUGAUGGGGUUAGCGCAAGCGAAGCUCUUGAUCGAAGCCCCGGUAAACGGCGGCCGUAACUAUAACGGUCCUAAGGUAGCGAAAUUCCUUGUCGGGUAAGUUCCGACCUGCACGAAUGGCGUAAUGAUGGCCAGGCUGUCUCCACCCGAGACUCAGUGAAAUUGAACUCGCUGUGAAGAUGCAGUGUACCCGCGGCAAGACGGAAAGACCCCGUGAACCUUUACUAUAGCUUGACACUGAACAUUGAGCCUUGAUGUGUAGGAUAGGUGGGAGGCUUUGAAGUGUGGACGCCAGUCUGCAUGGAGCCGACCUUGAAAUACCACCCUUUAAUGUUUGAUGUUCUAACGUUGACCCGUAAUCCGGGUUGCGGACAGUGUCUGGUGGGUAGUUUGACUGGGGCGGUCUCCUCCUAAAGAGUAACGGAGGAGCACGAAGGUUGGCUAAUCCUGGUCGGACAUCAGGAGGUUAGUGCAAUGGCAUAAGCCAGCUUGACUGCGAGCGUGACGGCGCGAGCAGGUGCGAAAGCAGGUCAUAGUGAUCCGGUGGUUCUGAAUGGAAGGGCCAUCGCUCAACGGAUAAAAGGUACUCCGGGGAUAACAGGCUGAUACCGCCCAAGAGUUCAUAUCGACGGCGGUGUUUGGCACCUCGAUGUCGGCUCAUCACAUCCUGGGGCUGAAGUAGGUCCCAAGGGUAUGGCUGUUCGCCAUUUAAAGUGGUACGCGAGCUGGGUUUAGAACGUCGUGAGACAGUUCGGUCCCUAUCUGCCGUGGGCGCUGGAGAACUGAGGGGGGCUGCUCCUAGUACGAGAGGACCGGAGUGGACGCAUCACUGGUGUUCGGGUUGUCAUGCCAAUGGCACUGCCCGGUAGCUAAAUGCGGAAGAGAUAAGUGCUGAAAGCAUCUAAGCACGAAACUUGCCCCGAGAUGAGUUCUCCCUGACUCCUUGAGAGUCCUGAAGGAACGUUGAAGACGACGACGUUGAUAGGCCGGGUGUGUAAGCGCAGCGAUGCGUUGAGCUAACCGGUACUAAUGAACCGUGAGGCUUAACCUU
rnacentral:rRNA from 1 species